CGAACGCUGGCGGCGUGGAUUAGGCAUGCAAGUCGAACGGGAAAGGUUCCUUCGGGGACCGAGUAUAGUGGCAAACGGGUGAGUAACGCGUGGGAAACCUGCCCUUUGGUUGGGGAUAACACUCCUAACGGGGUGCUAAUACCGAAUAUCACCAUUACAUCGCAUGAUGUUUUGAUGAAAGGCGGCCUCUGCUUGCAAGCUGUCGCCGAAGGAUGGUCCCGCGUCCCAUUAGCUUGUUGGUGAGGUAACGGCUCACCAAGGCAGUGAUGGGUAGCCGGCCUUAGCGGGUGAUCGGCCACACUGGGAUUGAGAUACGGCCCAGACUCCUACGGGAGGCAGCAGUCGAGAAGCUUCCACAAUGGGGGAAACCCUGAUGGAGCGACGUCGCGUGGGUGAUGAAGGUUUUCGGAUCGUAAAACCCUUUCGGCAGGGACGAUAGUGUUAGGUGUUAAUAUCACCUGGCAUCAGACGGUACCUGCAUAAGAAGCUCCGGCUAACUCCGUG
rnacentral:rRNA from 1 species